UGAUAACAACGGGUAUAUUAUGUUAAUAAUUUAAAUAAAAAACCGACACGGCAACACUAAAAACAAAUGCAACAAAAAAAAUUAUAUUCUAAGAUUCAUCAGACAGUACCUGAUCGCCUACAAUAUAUUUCAAAACAUAUAAAUAUAUCAAUACAAUUCAUCAGUCAAAAUUAUGAACACCGUAUGAGCAACCGAGAAAAGGUAAGGUAGUGCUAGUGAAGUACAGGUAAAAUAAAUAAAUGGUAAGAAUAUUACAAAAUAUUUUUAUUAUUUUGUAAGUUUUCGAUAAAUGAUAUUCUAUUGCCGUCAUUGAUUAUAGCUCAGGCUAUAGUACAUUGCUCUUAUGAUAUAAGCGGACACGAAUAAUAAUAUACAGAAAUACGGGACUAGACUAUUUUUAAUUUAACAACCCUACUGUUAAAGAAUAUAGAUAUAAAAGAGGAACAGCUGGGCGAUUCCAGUAAAAUCCAUAACAGCAAAGCGGUAAUCUAUCAAUUAUGAGCAAACUUAAUCACACAGAUUUCAAUCUGAAGCCAUAAGUUAACGUAAAAUUGAAUGAACAAUAAGGGACUAAACUACUUUUAAUAACUUGUUGAGACAUAAGGGAACAAAAAAUAAUCGUAUUCCAUUUCAGAUUGACUAGAUAAACGGCUGGAAAAUUUCAGCAAAGUAGAUACAGGGGAAAAAAACACAUCUAGCAGCAAUAAUCAGCAUAUACACAUAACAAAAAACAAGAAAAUCAAAAGUGGAAAACAGGAUCAAGACGACCAGCAGAAGAUUAAUUUCAUUUGAUAGAAAACCUGUAACAUUUGCACUACUUUCAAUAUACACAGUUGAAACUAAAAUCAAUAGAACCCUUUUUAAAUAUACAGUAACUAUAAUAAUACUUAUUGAAUAAAAUGAUAAAAAUAAUAUAAAAAAAAAAAUAAAA